CUGGACAUCUAGCGGACUGUAGGGAGAUAUUAGCUGAAUUUUUUAAAAAGUGUAUUGGAAAGAAUCGCUUACGGUGCCUCUAAAGUGUAACGUCACCCCCAGCUGUCACACUAACGGGCUGGGGGGCGUGCGUCACCCAUGACGAUAAAUCCCAAAGUUGACUGUACGUCAGCAUCGGCAUUACAAGUUUGAAGAGGAUUUUAAACAGUAGCGUAGCCUACUAUAUGGCGUAUCCAUUUAUAACCCAUAAAAUGCCGAUUUAUAAUAAAUGUUGUCAUUAUUAACACCAGCAUUAUUAACACCAGUACAUUUACAACUCAAAAACACAUGUAAGGGUGCAGUUACACUUCAAGUGUAUGGUCUCACUGUCCCAGCGACCCCAAUAUAAUCGAAUCAUCGUUUAACCUCGUAGAUGGGCUAUUAAUAACUCCUAUCCACCCAUGCACACUAGCAACUAUUUUUGUCUCAAGACUGUUGAGCUAGGAGGGCAGAAUGACAUGCAACCAGAGACACAACAGUUUAGACUGUUCAAGUCACUGUUAACGAUAACGGUAUUUUUUAUAAUGAUGUUCGGAUCUUAGCCCUACAUCUGAAAAACAGUUAGCCAACUGUAAUAACGGGAUCAGGAUUUCAUUCAGGCCUAUCUGUAAUUCAACCAUUCAUAAGGCAAUAGUUAGCCAACAACACCCAGAGCACUUCUCCAGAUGAGUCUGCUGAAGACAUAUUCUGACGGGAUGCUGAAACAAUCUCCUUCUUCACGUCCUGUGUUUCUCAGUGAUGGGGAUCUGACAGAGAUUCAGCUGCACUCAGUCGAAUCUAUAAAUGACUUGCACAGAAACCACUCUGAGCAACCUCAAAAAGCGUCAGGAGGCAGACCACCCCUACUCCCCUUUGCUCUUCCCUCCAACGGGAAUGUGUCAACCUCGGUUCUCAGACCUUCUGCUCGUCAAACAAAUCAGCCCCCCAAUGAGGCUCAGAAGUAUUACCCGCGAAUCCUCAUAUACGCCAGCCUCAGCCUCCUCCUCAUCACCCUCGCUGUCAUCCUCUUUGUCGUAGUCAAGCAGGCGAGUACAGUGAGCUCCCUUUCUGAGGUGCUGCUGCAGCAUCUGGGCCAGUUUCAGGAGGUGUCCCAGCUCAAACACAAACUGCAGCUCCUGGAGAGGAACCUCAGCACCACAGGACACUGAUACCAUACUCUGGCAAUCUCCUCUCCAACCACACAAGACCACACAGUCUGCAGUACAACCUGCCCACCAGCUCAGUCUACCAUACUCACAACACUAUUCAAUCUCUGUAACCUGCCCCCCAGCUCAGUCUACCAUAUUCACAACACUGUUCAAUCUCUGUAACCUGCCCCCCAACUCAGUCUACCAUACUCACAACACUGUUCAAUCUCUGUAACCUGCCCUCCAGCUCAGUCUACCAUAUUCACAACACUGUUCAAUCUCUGUGUAGACAUCUGAUGAUCAUUACCGCCUUAGGCCGGGGUGGAAGAUUUGUGCCUAACUGUACACUGGUGUGUGUGUGUGUUUUGUGCCUAACUGUACACUGGUGUGUGUGUGCGUUUUGUGCCUAACUGUACACUGGUGUGUGUGUGCGUUUUCUAACUACUAGGACCAUGCUCUCUCUUGGAGCUACUUUUGCAUUCAUGUUAUACAGUGACUUGUGGUGUCCCUUUGAUAAUAAACUGUAGAAAAUACUGGGUGGUUUGUGCUGU
ensembl:lncRNA